CGGGCGGCCGUGACCCUGCUGGAGUUCGGGGGGGACCUCCAGUCCCCCGGGGGGACCCUGCGCCUCCUCUGCCGAGGGUCCGGGUUCGAUUUUGGCAGUUUUGGGACGGGCUGGUAUGGACAGACACCAAAGAAUGCACUGGAAUGGUUCGCAAAUAUCACCAGCAAUGGUGGCAGCACCUGGUACGCGCCUUCGGUCAAGGGCCGGUUCACGAUCUCCAGGGACAACGGGCAGAGCUCGGUGACGCUGACCAUGAACAACCUCAAGGACGAGGAUUCCGCCGUCUAUUUCUGCGGGAAAUCUUACAAUACUGGUGGUCCUGGUGCGGCUGCUCAUGGGGACCUGCGAAGUCCUGGUCUCACCCUCAUCACUGCCUCCCCUCCUGUCCCCAUUCCCCAUACCCUUCCCUAG